rnacentral:tRNA from 1 species
GCGGGCGUGGCGGAAUGGUAGACGCAUAGGCCUUAAAAGCCUCCGUCCUCAGGGAUGUACGGGUUCGAGUCCCGUCGCCCGCA